GGGGAUUUAGCUCAGUGGUAGAGUGCUUGCCUAGCAAGUGCAAGACCUUGGGUUCGGUUCCCAGCUCCG
rfam:Rattus norvegicus chromosome 3, whole genome shotgun sequence.